CCCUUAGAUGUUCUGGGCCGCACGCGUGCUACACUGAACGGUUCAAUGGGUAAGGUAGUGCGAAAGCAUGACCUAAUCUCGAAAUCCGUUCGUGCUGGGGAUAGAAGCUUGCAAUUAUCCUUCUUGAACGAGGAAUACCUUGUAAGCGUGAGUCAUCAUCUCACGCUGAAUACGUCCCUGCCCUUUGUACACACCGCCCGUCGCUCCUACCGAUUGAGUGUUCCGGUGAGGCUUCGGGAGAACUGGGUGGAUUGUGUUUCACAAACUGCUCGGUUUGAACUUAGUCAAACCUUAUCACUUAGAGGAAGGAGAAGUCGUGACA
rnacentral:rRNA from 1 species